rnacentral:rRNA from 1 species
AUUGAACGCUGGCGGCAUGCCUUACACAUGCCAGUCGAACGGCAGCACGGGUGCUUGCACCUGGUGGCGAGUGGCGAACGGGUGAGUAAUACAUCGGAACAUGUCCUGUAGUGGGGGAUAGCCCGGCGAAAGCCGGAUUAAUACCGCAUACGAUCUACGGAUGAAAGCGGGGGACCUUCGGGCCUCGCGCUAUAGGGUUGGCCGAUGGCUGAUUAGCUAGUUGGUGGGGUAAAGGCCUACCAAGGCGACGAUCAGUAGCUGGUCUGAGAGGACGACCAGCCACACUGGGACUGAGACACGGCCCAGACUCCUACGGGAGGCAGCAGUGGGGAAUUUUGGACAAUGGGCGAAAGCCUGAUCCAGCAAUGCCGCGUGUGUGAAGAAAGCCUUCGGGUUGUAAAGCACUUUUGUCCGGAAAGAAAUCCUUGGCCCUAAUACGGUCGGGGGAUGACGGUACCGGAAGAAUAAGCACCGGCUAACUACGUG